rnacentral:rRNA from 1 species
UACGGAGGGGGCUAGCGUUGUUCGGAAUUACUGGGCGUAAAGCGCGCGUAGGCGGCUUUGUAAGUUAGAGGUGAAAGCCCGGAGCUCAACUCCGGAAUUGCCUUUAAGACUGCAUCGCUAGAACGUCGGAGAGGUGAGUGGAAUUCCGAGUGUAGAGGUGAAAUUCGUAGAUAUUCGGAAGAACACCAGUGGCGAAGGCGGCUCACUGGUCCGGUACUGACGCUGAGGUGCGAAAGCGUGGGGAGCAAACAGG